CGGGGGCGGAGCGGGGCCGUGCCGGGAGGCAGCGGGGCGAGGCGCGGCGGCGACGGCGAUGCGGCGGGUGCUGGCCCUCGCCUUGGGCUUCGUGGCCCUGGCGGCCGCCAGCCAGACCCCGCUGCAGCGGCGGGUGGUGCGGGACGUGCUCGAGUACUUCCACGGCCGGGGCAGCGUGGCCUUCCUCUUCAGGGAGCACUCCCUCGAGGGGGCCGUCGAGCGGCAAGACUCGUCGGGGACGUUCGUCCAGCUGCGCGUCAACCUCGCGCAGACCAACUGCAGGAAGAGGGCGCAGAGGACGCAGAACUGCAAGACCGUGGAGAACAGGAGGAAGCCGGCCUGCCUGGCUUGCUACAAGUUUGACAACAGCGAUGUCCCCAAGGUGCUGGACAAGUACCACAACUGCGGCCCCAGCCACCACCUGGCCGUGAAGGUGAGCUGUCCCCGGGGGGUGUCCCGGGGCUGGCAGGGGGCUCUGUCCCUGGCUGCUGCCUGCAUCCGUUCACUCACGUGUCCCGGAGGUGCUCCGGGGGCUGGCACGUCCCGCACGCCCCCCUCUGCGGUGCCAGCCCCCCGCUCUCUGCCCCGCAGGAGAUAAAGCAGCGCGACGAGGCCGAGUGCAGGGCCGUGGAGGAGGCCGGCAAGUCGACGGACGUCCUCUACCUCCCCGGCAUGUUCGCCUUCUCCAGGGGGAUGCCGGCCUAGGCGGCUGCACCCGGCCACGGCCAGCUGACGCCGCGUCCACCAGCCCGGAAGGAUGCUGACAUGGGGCCAGCCCGGCCCCCCGAGCUUGCUGCCCCCCAGCGCUGUGCAAUGAAGGGAGGGUCGUCCUGCAGGUGGCCCCCCCACGCCUAGGCAGUGUCCGCAUGCACCAGUAAACCCCAGCUCUGCC